AUGAACGCUGGCGGCGUGGAUAAGGCAUGCAAGUCAAACGGGUCCCGAAGUGUAGCAAUACAUUUUGGAGACCAGUGGCGAACGAGUUAGUAACACCUUGGUACAUACCCAAAAGACGGGGAUAACUAGUCGAAAGAUUAGCUAAUACCCGAUAGUCCCGUAAGGGUAAAGAUGCAAAUCACUUUUGGAGUGGCCUAGGUCCUAUCAGCUUGUUGGCGGGGUAACGGCCCACCAAGGCGACGACGGGUAGGGGGUGUGAGAGCAUGGCCCCCAACGAGGGAACUGAGACACGGUCCUUACAUCUACGGAUGGCCGCAGUCGAGAAUAUUCGACAAUGGACGAAAGUCUGAUCGAGCGACGCCGCGUGCAGGAAGAAGCCCCUAGGGGUGUAAACUGCUUUUGCGUAGGAAAAACUCUGAUUGUACUACGCGAAUAAGGGGUUGCUAACCUCGUGCCAGCAGCAGCGGUAAUACGAGGACCCCAAGCGUUAUCCGGAAUUACUGGGCGUAAAGCGCGAGCAGCCGGCUCUAUUAGUCUGAUGUUAAAUCCUCCGGCUUAACUGGAGGGCCGCAUUGGAAACGGUAGAGCUUGAGCAGCUAAGAGGCAGACGGAACGUGCAGUGUAGGGGUGAAAUCCAUUGAUAUUGCACGGAACACCAAAAGCGAAAGCAGUCUGCUAGUGGUUUGCUGACGGUCAAUCGCGAAAGCGUGGGGAUCAAAAAGGAUUAGAUACCCUUGUAGUCCACGCCCUAAACAAUGUUGACUAGCUAUUGGGAGCAUCGACCCUUCCAGUGGCGAAGCUAACGCGUUAAGUCAAUCGCCUGGGAAGUACGAGCGCAAGCUUAAAACUCAAAGGAAUAGGCGGGAAUUCGCACAAGCAGUGGAUCAUGUGGUUCAAUUCGACUCUAACCGAGGAACCUCACCAAGGUUUGAAAUCCAGGUGCAAGCCCUAGAAAUAGGGUCGCCUUCGAGGGUCCUGGACAGGUGCUGCACGGCUGUCGUCAGCUCGUCACGUGAGUGGUAUCCUUAAGUGGAUUAACGAGCGCAACCCCCGUUGUCUGUUAUAUUUGUCAGGCAAGACCGCUUCGGUAACGGAGAGGAAGGUGGGGAUGACGUCAAGUCAGCGUGGCCCUCUGAUACCUUGGGCUACACACAUGAUACAAUGGACGUUACAAUGGGCUGCCAACCCGCGAGGGGGAGCUAAUCCCAUCAAAAGCGUCCUCAGUUCAGAUUGGAGGCUGAAACUUGCCUCCAUGAAGCCGGAAUUGCUAGUAAUCGCUGAUCAGAAUGCAGCGGUGAAUACGUUCUCGAAUUUUGCACACACCGC
rnacentral:rRNA from 1 species